AUUAGAUACCCUAUUAUUUUUACUGUAAAAAAAUUAAACUAGAGUACUAUUAGUUAUGAUCUUUAAACUUAAAGAAUUUGGCGGUAUUAUAGUCUAUUUAGAGGAAUCUGUUAUGUAAUCGAUAGUCCACGUUGAACCUUACUUAUGCUAUUUCUUGUAUAUCGCUGUUUAUGAAUAUACUCUUAGGUAAUUUUCUUAAUAUAAAAUUAAUUAAAAUUUCAAGUCAAGGUGCAGUUAUGCGUAAGUUGAAUAAUGGAUUACAAUAAAUUUUAUUUAUAUGGAUUGUUAUUGAAAUAUAGUUUGAAGGUGGAUUUAAUAGUAAUUUUAUGAAGAUUAUUAAAAUGAUUAAAGCUCUAUAAUGUGCACACAUCGCCCG
rnacentral:rRNA from 1 species